AUGCCGCCGCAGUGGCCGUGGCUCCAGCCCGCCGCCGCCGCCGCCGCCGCUCGCCGCGCCACCCCCUUCGUCUUGCGCGGGAGACGCUGCUCCUCCUCCGUCCCCGCCUCCGUCUGCGCCUCGGCGCCCUCCGGCCACGCCCGCGAGCAGGAGGAUGAGCAGUCGCUGGUUGUGGUGGGCGGCGGCGCCGCCGGGGUGUACGCGUCGAUAAGGGCCAAGACGCUGGCUCCCCACCUCAACGUGGUGGUCAUAGAGAAAGGGAAGUUCUUGUCCAAGGUCAAGAUCUCCGGCGGCGGGCGGUGCAAUGUCACCAACGGGCACCAUCUCGAGCCGUCGGGACUGGUGAGAAAUUAUCCUAGGGGGUACAAAGAACUCCGGGGAUCCUUCUUUCGCACCCAUGGGCCACAGGAUACCAUGCACUGGUUUUCAGAUCAUGGUGUGGAGCUUAAGACCGAAGAGGACGGUAGAGUCUUUCCUGUCACUGACAACUCUGCUUCGGUAGUAGACUGCCUGCUGAAUGAGGCGAGAAGACUGGGAGUUUCCCUGCAGGCUGGUAAAUCCGUGUCCGGUGCAUCUGUCGACGCCAACGGCAAGUUUGUUGUCAAAGUUGAGAAGCGUACUAUUGAUUUUGUAGAUUACAUCAGCGCUAAUUAUGUCUUAGUUGCUACAGGCAGCAGCCAACAGGGCUACUCAUUUGCUGCGCAACACGGUCACUCUAUUAUUCCACCUGUGCCCAGCCUAUUCACAUUCAAAAUUGCAGACAAGCGACUGGCUGAUCUAUCCGGGGUUUCGUUCACAAGGGUCGCAGCAAAACUGAUGCUAGAUGGCAUUCAGAAAAGCGCUCCUGAAUUAACUCAGACUGGACCUAUGUUGGUUACACAUUGGGGGCUUAGUGGCCCUGUUGUUCUUCGAUUGUCUGCAUGGGGAGCACGUGAACUAUAUCAGGACAAGUACCAAGCAAAGCUUGUGGUUGACUUCAUACCGGACAUUCACAUCGAGGACGUGAAGCGGAUCCUAUUCCAGCACAAAGACCAACAUGCGAAGAACAAAGUAAAUAACGCCUUUCCCAAGGAGUUUGGUCUGGUGAAGAGGUUUUGGGGAUUCCUUCUAGAACAGGAGAGUUUAGAUGGUGACAUGCACUGGGCCACCGUGCCAAAAAGUCAUCUAAACGCGAUAGCCCUUCGCUUGAAACAGUGGAUGUUUGAGGUUGUUGGGAAGGGCCAAUUCAAAGAUGAAUUUGUGACAGCUGGAGGUGUUCCACUUUCAGAGAUAUCGCUUAGCACCAUGGAAAGCAAGAAGCAGCCCAAUCUGUUCUUUGCAGGAGAGGUACUUAAUGUCGACGGGGUCACAGGCGGGUUCAAUUUUCAGAAUGCAUGGACUGGUGGGUAUAUAGCUGGGACAAGCAUUGGCACAUUGGCAUCAAAAAGCAUUCUCAAAGAAGAGCAAGCCUGUUUGCAACUACAAGGAUCUUAA
rnacentral:rRNA from 1 species